CCUACGGGAGGCAGCAGUGGGGAAUCUUGCGCAAUGGGCGAAAGCCUGACGCAGCAACGCCGCGUGCGGGAAGAAGGCUUUCGGGCUGUAAACCGCUUUCAGCAGGAACGAAAAUGACGGUACCUGCAGAAGAAGGAGCGGCCAACUAUGUGCCAGCAGCCGCGGUGAUACAUAGGCUUCAAGCGUUGUCCGGAUUUAUUGGGCGUAAAGAGUUCGUAGGCGGUCAAGUAAGUCGGGUGUGAAAAUUCUGGGCUCAACCCAGAGACGCCACCCGAUACUGCUUAACUUGAGUUCGAUAGGGGAGUGGGGAAUUCCUAGUGUAGCGGUGAAAUGCGCAGAUAUUAGGAGGAACACCGGUGGCGAAGGCGCCACUCUGGAUCGAUACUGACGCUGAGGAACGAAAGCAUGGGUAGCAAACAGGAUUAGAUACCCUGGUAGUCCAUGCCGUAAACGGUGGGCACUAGGUGUGGGUUUCUAUUAACGAAAUCCGCGCCGUCGCUAACGCAUUAAGUGCCCCGCCUGGGGGAGGUACGGUCGCGAGACUAAACUACAAUAGAAUUAGACGGCGUGAGACGUGCCGAACGGACGACCGACCGAGGGAGGUAGG
rnacentral:rRNA from 1 species